rnacentral:rRNA from 1 species
CUAACAAGGAUUCCCCCAGUAACGGCGAGUGAAGCGGGAUGAGCUCAAAUUUGAAAUCUCCGGUGCUUGCACCGGCGAGUUGUAGUUGCGAGAAGCACUUUCUAGGCGGAUCGGCGGCGCCUAAGUUGCUUGGAACAGCAUGUCGCAGAGGGUGACAACCCCGUCUGUGGCGCGGCCGGCCGCUGACGAUGUGCUUUCGAAGAGUCGGGUUGUUUGGGAAUGCAGCCCAAAAUGGGUGGUAAACUCCAUCUAAAGCUAAAUAUUGGCGUGAGACCGAUAGCGAAGGAAACGAAUGGACUCAGCAAUGCGCCGUUUGAGAUUCAGCCGGUGGGUGGGAUCGGCUCGGGGUUUGCGGAUCUGAAUGGACCGCGGCCUUGGGCUCGUUUCUCCUCGCCGUCGCACUUCUCUUGGGCGCGCGUCAACGUCGGUUGGGACUGGGUCUGAAAGGUGCCGGGAAGGUAGGUCUGGACCUCCGGGUCCGGUCUGUUACAGCCCGGUUCUCUCAUGGCUCGGGCCCGACCGAGGAGUGGCAGCGCAUGCCUCUUGUGGCUAGGGUGCCGUCCUUCCGGCCGGUUGUCGAAUGCGGUGGACUGCUUGCAGUGCUCCGCGACCGCUGCCGGUCGUUGGGGUGGUGAUCU